rnacentral:rRNA from 1 species
GACGAACGCUGGCGGCGUGCCUAAUACAUGCAAGUAGGACGCAGUUGCGAACGGUUGAGUAACGCGUAGGUGACUGCCUAUUAGAGGGGGAUAACUACUGGAAACGAUAGCUAAUACCGCAUACUCGUAGAUGGACCUUCGUUGUAUUAGCUAGUAGGUAGGGUAAUGGCCUAACUAGGCGACGAUACAUAGCCGAGCGGCGAAGGUGAUCGGCCACACCUGGACUGAGGAAAUGGCCAGACUCCUUACGGAAGCAACCGUGGGGAAUCUUCGGCAAUGGGGGGAACCCUGGCCCAGCAACGCCGCGGGAGUGUAGAAGGUUUUCGGAUCGUAAAGCUAUUUUGUUAAGGUAGCGGUACUUAACCAGAAAGGGACGGCUAACUACGUGCCAGCAGCCGCGGUAAUAC